rnacentral:tRNA from 1 species
GGAAUUUUGCGAUAGUGGUUAUUCGGCGGGACUUGAAUAAAGCUUUCUUGAAUCCUUGUUAUCCCGUGCCGUCAGGCUCAGAGGUUCGAACCCUCUAGGUUCCG